ensembl:snoRNA
UGCAGCUUAGAGACAGGUGCAAAUAAUAAAUCAUUUUUUGCAACCCAGAACUCAUUGUUGAUAUGAGUUUUGGUAAAUGCAAAAAGAAAUAUG